UACAGAGGGGGCAAGCGUUGUUCGGAAUUACUGGGCGUAAAGGGCGCGCAGGCGGCCUGUUAAGUCGAACGUGAAAUCCCCGGGCUCAACCCGGGAACUGCGUCCGAUACUGGCAGGCUUGAAUCCGGGAGAGGGAUGCGGAAUUCCAGGUGUAGCGGUGAAAUGCGUAGAUAUACGGAGGAACACCAGCGGCGAAGGCGGGUGAGCUGGCCAACACUGACGCUGAUGCGCGAAGCUAGGGGAGCAAACAGG
rnacentral:rRNA from 1 species